GCCCACGCUGACACGGGGAGAACAUGCAAACUCCGCACAGAAGGGCUCCCACGCCCGGGAUCGAACCGGCAACCCUCUUGCUGUGAGGCGGGAGUGCUAACCACCACACCACCGUGCCGCGCAUUUAAUCAUAUAAGCACUAAUUCCUCUACAAAUAUUAAAUGUUAUAACUACCCUAAAUAUUACCAAAAUACUAGGCAUAUAGCUGACAAAGGUGAUGAUUAUCUAUCCACAAAACAAACAAAUGCUGUCAUGUCACAUAUUAAGUAUUUAUACAGUAUACUUUCAGAAAAACACACCUGCAUUUCUGUGUUGCAUGAAUCAAAUAUUAAUUUCAAUUAAUGGAAAUGUGUCAAAUUUGCCUCUUGCUACUGUUACAUGAAAAAUCUGAGGAAAUGGACAUCAACGCUGUUGACACAUUAGGCGAUUAUUAAACAUAACAAAUGGAGUUCAUGUUGUAGACUUUUUUUUGAUUUUCUGUUGAUGCUAGAUGGUAAGAGAGCCAGCUUAAGGGAAAUGAAAUGAUGCCAACAUUUCAAAUAUUUUUCUCAGAACUCAUAAGUAUGUAUUGAAAUCAAGGUUUUGACACAGGAAAUAUUAACAUUAUGAUUUAAAAAGUUGUAAAACUACAGGGUUUGCCAUUGUCUGUUUGAAAUGAAUGCACUCUGCAGAGGUGGAAUGUAACGAGGUGGUUGUCCUUGACAAUGUCUGAUUUUAUUACAUCUUAAUGAAUGUGUGACAGUGUUGACAAAAAUGGGGACACAAUUUUAAAACGUUAUGAAACAUGUAUGUGUCAUUGAAAAACAAUUUUGCUCUGAUCUGGGACAUUAGUAAGUGUGCUUCUGAUGAAACAGGCUGUUAUUUUUUUUCUCCAGCUUUUAAAAUGCACUCUUAUAUAUAAAUAAAUGUAUAGAUAUGUGUUUUUGUCCAUUUGUCAUGAUUCAUUUGUGUAAGUGCUCAGUCAUGUUUUUCUGUCAUGUUUUGUUUUGUUUUUGCAGUACGCAUGUGGUGAUCUGGCGGUGCCGUGGCAGCAGCUCUAUGAGCAGUGCUGCCAAACAACCGGUGAGCUGCUACAGGUCCUGGUGCGCCAUGUAAGGCGCAGCAGGGCCUCACAGCAGCAGCACCAACUCCUGCAGCAGUCAAUACGGCGUCUAUGUAUAUGCAGAGGGAAGGGAGAGGGAUCUCCGCCAGCAGGUGAAGGACCUCAACCAGCAGAUGAAGAUAUUGGUGCAGCUGACACUGAGCCAGGGGUCAAGCCGGAAGAGGGGAUUGUAGAUGAGAAAUAAAACAAAAAAAUAAAAAAUAAUUUCUUUGUUAAAGUG